UACGUAGGGGGCAAGCGUUGUUCGGAAUUACUGGGCGUAAAGGGCGCGUAGGCGGCAGGCCAAGUCGGGAGUGAAAGCCCGGGGCUCAACCCCGGAAUGUCUUUCGAAACUGGCCAGCUUGAGUGCGGAAGAGGCAACUGGAAUUCCCAGUGUAGCGGUGAAAUGCGUAGAUAUUGGGAAGAACACCUGAGGCGAAGGCGGGUUGCUGGGCCGACACUGACGCUGAGACGCGGAAGCGUGGGGAGCGAACAGG
rnacentral:rRNA from 1 species